AGAGACAAGGAGUAAAAUGCCUGAGCUCAAGUGACAACAAGCAACCCCAGACUAGAGACAGGAUCCUUCUCCCCACUUCGAGCAGAUCCCAGCAUGAAUCCUGCAGUAUGGUGAUGGCAAAAGUCAGUGCAGGACCACUGGGACUCCUGGAGCUUCUCACAUCUCUGAGAGCACCAGCAGCAGUCCCCAGAUAGCAGAUGACUGGUAGGAAGAUGAGGCAAGUUUGCGGUCCAUUGUCAUGGAUAGUGGAGACAACACUGGGCCAGAAGUGGUAAGACCUGAAUCCAAGACUCAGCUCUGCCACUUGCUAAAUGGGACUUUGAAUAAACCAUUUCUCUGCACUUAAGUUCCUUACCAACAAAACGAGGGAAGUGGCCUACAUGCCUAGAUAUCAACAUUUCAUGUCACGUAGAGAUCUAGCAUCACAAGAAUCCAAGUCAUCCUCUGUUGCCUUUAAGACAAAAAGCAGAUCAGCAAGUUUUCAUAUUGCACUAUUUUCAAUGGCUGGAGCAUCAACAUUUUACAACAAGAAAAAAAUUAAAAUUCUUCAACAUUUGGAAAAGAAGUGUUUGUAAAACUUUUCACAUCCAUUCACCAUCCGGAAAAGCAAGGUUUUACAGUGAGGCCUGAUGAUGUCUAGAGUCACCAUGCAUCUUGGAAAAUGACCUCCUAUUUAUUUCUUCUACAGGACACCAUGGUGUUCACCUUUCUACAACUUUACACUUGCUGAGGACAUAUUGUGGAAAAUUAAGAGAAAUAUAUAUGGAUGGCCAAGGCUGUAGAUGGAUGUCCAAGCCUUUUUACUGGGGAAUGUUUUCAGAACAAAAUGAGUUACAGGUUCAAGAGUGAAACCCAACAAAUCUUGGCUCUUUUUUUCUCUACUAAAUUCCAAAUCAAAAGUAUUUAUGGAGUGCUUUUAAUGUGCCACGCACUGGGCUAGAGAUUCAUAAUUUUGAUGGGAAUCUGUGUAUUCAAACUCUUUUAACGUGGAAACCUUGCUUGUGCAAGGUCCUCCCAGAUCUUAUCCUACUUUAUCAAAGCUUGGCUAAAUGCAACAUGUCUUCUCCCCAGUGCCCUGGGUCUCUGUACACGCAGUAAAGUGGUCCUUAGACAUAUGCUGAAAUAGGGCUUAAUUUUCCCCAUAUACGAAUGAGAUAAAUUCUACUACAUGUAGCCAGACUUCGAUAGGGAGAACACCCAAAGUCACUUAAAAUAAAACUACACUUUCAUUUUUGCAAGCCAAAUAA
ensembl:lncRNA LINC02207 long intergenic non-protein coding RNA 2207